GAUGAACGCUGGCGGCGUGCCUAAUACAUGCAAGUCGAGCGAACGGACGAGAAGCUUGCUUUUCUGAUGUUAGCGGCGGACGGGUGAGUAACACGUGGAUAACCUACCUAUAAGACUGGGAUAACUUCGGGAAACCGGAGCUAAUACCGGAUAAUAUUUUGAACCGCACGGUUCAAAAGUGAAAGACGGUCUUGCUGUCCCUUAUAGAUGGAUCCGCGCUGCAUUAGCUAGUUGGUAAGGUAACGGCUUACCAAGGCAACGAUGCAUAGCCGACCUGAGAGGGUGAUCGGCCACACGGGAACUGAGACACGGUCCAGACUCCUACGGGAGGCAGCAGUAGGGAAUCUUCCGCAAUGGGCGAAAGCCUGACGGAGCAACGCCGCGUGAGUGAUGAAGGUCUUCGGAUCGUAAAACUCUGUUAUUAGGGAAGAACAUAUGUGUAAGUAACUGUGCACAUCUUGACGGUACCUAAUCAGAAAGCCACGGCUAACUACGUG
rnacentral:rRNA from 1 species